rnacentral:rRNA from 1 species
UGGGGAAUUUUGGACAAUGGGCGCAAGCCUGAUCCAGCCAUGCCGCGUGCGGGAAGAAGGCCUUCGGGUUGUAAACCGCUUUUGUCAGGGAAGAAAAGACUCCGGAUAAUACCUGGGGUUCAUGACGGUACCUGAAGAAUAAGCACCGGCUAACUACGUGCCAGCAGCCGCGGUAAUACGUAGGGUGCAAGCGUUAAUCGGAAUUACUGGGCGUAAAGCGUGCGCAGGCGGUUAUGCAAGACAGAUGUGAAAUCCCCGGGCUCAACCUGGGAACUGCAUGUGUGACUGCAUAGCUAGAGUACGGUAGAGGGGGAUGGAAUUCCGCGUGUAGCAGUGAAAUGCGUAGAUAUGCGGAGGAACACCGAUGGCGAAGGCAAUCCCCUGGACCUGUACUGACGCUCAUGCACGAAAGCGUGGGGAGCAAACAGG